UACGUAGGGGGCAAGCGUUGUCCGGAAUCAUUGGGCGUAAAGAGCGUGUAGGCGGCUCGGUAAGUCCGCUGUGAAAACUGGAGGCUCAACCUCCAGCCUGCAGUGGGUACGGGCAAACUAGAGUGCGGUAGGGGAGAUUGGAAUUCCUGGUGUAGCGGUGGAAUGCGCAGAUAUCAGGAGGAACACCGAUGGCGAAGGCAGAUCUCUGGGCCGUAACUGACGCUGAGGAGCGAAAGGCGUGGGGAGCAAACAGG
rnacentral:rRNA from 1 species